rnacentral:rRNA from 1 species
UACGUAGGUGGCAAGCGUUGUCCGAAGUUACUGGGCGUAAAGCGCGCGUAGGCGGGGAACCAAGUCCGCUGUGAAAGCCCGAGGCUUAACCUCGGCGGGUCGGUGGAUACUGGUUCUCUUGAAGGUGCUAGGGGGAGAUGGAAUUACCGGUGUAGCGGUGAAAUGCGUAGAUAUCGGUAGGAACACCAGUGGCGAAGGCGGUCUCCUGGGGCAUUCUUGACGCUGAGGCGCGAAAGCUGGGGGAGCGAACGGG